UAGGUAUCCUGUGAUUUCACUUUCAAACUC
rnacentral:piRNA from 1 species